GGCAGGAUGGCCGAGUGGUCUAAGGCGUUGCGUUUAGGCCGCAAUAUCUUCGGAUGCGUGGGUUCAAACCCCACUCCUGUCA